GUGCUAAGUAACUGUGGGACGUGUGUGGAGAAGGACAACACGCGGAGUGGAUGAUGCAACCCCUGAGAACUGUCACAACAGCUGAAUGAAAAAGGUUUUGAUGGAUGUUGUAAAUCUCUUGAAUAAAUACAUACUGUACCUAUCAUGGAACGAGAUUUUUUGGCUUUGUAUUUUAUGCUGACUUUUUUUGGUGGUGUUCUUAUUCUUAGAGACAAGUGGUGGGGAGUGUAUUUAUGUAUUAUGCUUUGCUGUCUAGUUAUAGUUUGCUCACCUGCUUUGCAAGUUUGGCUUGAAUAAAAAUUUUUUGGACUAUCUGUCUAUUUGGGGAACUUAAGAUAUAUUGUUUUUCCCUACCCGUUGAACGAAGAAGCUUAACCGUCCUCGUGACUAGCCCUACCCACUUUCCUCCACCAGGGUAUUUAAUUGCCUGAAUAUAUGUAUGUUUAUAGUGCACUUAAUACUGUUGCAAGUAUGUCUCUCCACAUCAAUCUUCAAUAUAAUUCCUUAUAAAAAAUUUGUGGUCUGGAAGUAGUGGAAGGGUAUUUUCUGGAAUCUGUGAUGUAUAGUGAGUAGGCAUUUUGGGGGGGGGGGGGGUUUAAGGUAUAGUUUGUUGUACAACGUCUCAAAGGCUUUGUUGCUCAAUUGUGUUUGUGUCUGGAGUACCUGAAAUUGUUGACCAAAUUGUGGACUGACGUUGAUAAAUUUAAUAAUCGUUUGGGGGAUAUGCUUUGUCAUAACCAUUCUGUACUGACCUGUUUGUUUUUAUUCUUGUUAUUCUCAUGCUACUUAUUUACCAGUUCUGUCUGUCGCUUGCUUAGCUUUUCACAGGAUGUCUUUACUGAGUUAUUAUUGGCUGUUAUAUCAUUGUUUGCCGGGCCGGAUGCAGCUCACAGGUUUGAGUUUUGCACCUACGAUUUAGACUGUCAAUUUCUAAUCUAUGACGAAAGGGUUCCAACAAUCUUUUUCGCAAGAAAUUUGUCUUUUCUUAUUUUGCCAAGUUUAUAAAGUGUCUGAAGGAACUUCCCAUUAGUGUUGAUAUCAUGAGUCACACAUGUCUAAUAUAAUAUAUAUAAAGAUCUAUUUAUUAAUUCUCACUACUCUAGGGAUGAUUUUAUAGCUGAAUAGAUCUGUAGAUGUAAUUUAGGAAAAAGAAGAGUCCUAUUUUAUUAAUUACUGUGGAAUGUGCUUAAACGGAUCAUGGUUUAUCAAAAAGAGAAUAAAGUCCUGUUUUUGGGUUGUUAGUUUUUUUUUAAAUUUAGGAAGCCUCUUUUAAACUGAAAAGCUAAGUUUAAGUGGACUCCGCUGUGUUUAAUCAGUUGCAAACCCGUAUCUGUGUUGUUAUGGUUAGGCUAUUAGUUUAGUCAUUGCACACAGAACGCUCGAGUUCAAUUCACGAAUAAGGAAGCUUUUUAUUGAGUAGGCCCUAUCUCUGCCUGUCUGCUGAUGUGCUGUAUCCCACUCAGCCCGGAUUUGCCCUGAUACGAAGCAUCAACAAAGCAUCUUGUCUCUUUAAUGAUCUUAAUACUAAUACAUGUAAUGUGUUGAUAGAGGCAUAUAGGCCUACAUAUACCAGUACAAGGUUAGUAGUAAGGAAUAGAUCUGUCCAGUCUGCAUGAGCAAUUUUUAUUUUACUGGAACUGAAAUUUAAUUAAAAAACACAUUGGAGUAAAUAAAUGUCAGAAUUGUGUCGGAAUUCAGAUUAUAUUCUGUUUUUAUCCAUAUUGUAAUUAAAUUAUUCCCACUUUUGGAUUUUGUUUACUUUUUAAAAAGUUCACAAAUUUAAACAAAUUAUUUGUAUCCUUUUUUUGGUCAGUUUUUUAAAGAAUUACUUUUUUAUACUAGUAUUGGUUAGCCUCCUAAUUAAUAUUAACAGAAAGCUGUACAUGAAAAAGCUUGUAUGUACUUGGCUAUUGUGUUGUAAAUGCACCAACAACAGUGAGUUUUUGAAAAGAUUUAAAGUUCUUGAAAGCUGUCUUGAAAGCCACACAGGCUUUCAGAAAUACAUUUUUUGCUUUAUAUUUUUAUUGAGAAGGAUUCUAAUGUCAUUUUGUUGUGUGUUGUUCUCAAAUCUCAAUUUUUGUUUUUGGCUAGCAUAUUUUUUCCUUUCUUUUUUUUCCAUUUUGCUAAACAGGAAAAUGUUUCAAUGUUACGAGAACCCAACACAUUUCAAUAUUGUAUUACUAUUAUAUGGCAAUAAACAAAACAACACAAGUUUGUAUUCCUAUUUUGUGUGCAUGUACAAUGGACCCAGUUAAAUCCAAAAACAGAGCUAAACCAAAGGAAAACAGGGUCUCCAAUUUUUUAUUCGUCUUUGUAAGAAAACUAUCUAUUUACCAAAAUACUCCUUUUGCUAAACUGAAAAGGAUUUCAAGGGUUCUGUAGUCAACAUCUAUUCUUUAAUACUAAGAAAGAACUGUCGGUUAUUAUGCAGAUCAUCAAGUCUUGCAUACUUCAAGAAAGUGAAACAAAACAGAGACAUGAGAACAUGUGCCGAUUGAUUACAUGUCAGAGAGAGGCAUUGCCAGUGUGCUGUUUGCCUACCUUUAUGACGCUUAUCAAUAGGCCUGCGCACUAUGUAUAGGCCUAGUGAUGCACAGGAAUAGCGAAUGUCGUCUUUAGCAUGACCUUCAGUUGAUCAUGGCCUAUUAUCUCUGGGAAGCUGGUUCACAUUGGCCUUACACAUGACUACACUUGGUGUGUUUGAUGAAGUCACUAGCAUUUCAUUAGGCUUUCUCACUUGUUCUUGGUCAACAAAGAACAUGGAAGAAGAAAAAGGACAGAGGUCACAAAAAGAGAAUUGUGAACUAGCAGGGUCACAUGACGGCUGUCGUUCUUUCCCUGUACUUCUGUUUUAAUUAUAUAUUUCAGCAAUGUAUGGCUGUAGCCUUCUUGAUAAACUUUAAUAUAAUAUUGAUUGAUGAAUAAAAGGGAACAAGCCAAGGUUUCCAGACCCUCUG